GUGGGGAAUAUUGGACAAUGGGCGAAAGCCUGAUCCAGCCAUGCCGCGUGUGUGAAGAAGGUCUUCGGAUUGUAAAGCACUUUAAGUUGGGAGGAAGGGCAGUAAGUUAAUACCUUGCUGUUUUGACGUUACCGACAGAAUAAGCACCGGCUAACUUCGUGCCAGCAGCCGCGGUAAUACGAAGGGUGCAAGCGUUAAUCGGAAUUACUGGGCGUAAAGCGCGCGUAGGUGGUUUUGUAAGUUGGAGGUGAAAUCCCCGGGCUCAACCUGGGAACUGCCUCCAAAACUGCAUGACUAGAGUACGGUAGAGGGUAGUGGAAUUUCCUGUGUAGCGGUGAAAUGCGUAGAUAUAGGAAGGAACACCAGUGGAGAAGGCGACUACCUGGACUGAUACUGACACUGAGGUGCGAAAGCGUGGGGAGCAAACAGGAUUAGAAACCCCUGUAGUCC
rnacentral:rRNA from 1 species